UACGAAGGGUGCAAGCGUUAAUCGGAAUUACUGGGCGUAAAGGGUGCGUAGGCGGCUUUGUAAGUCAGAUUUGAAAUCCCCGGGCUUAACCUGGUAAUUGCGUUUGAAACUGCAGGGCUAGAGUGCGGCAGAGGGAGGUGGAAUUCCAUGUGUAGCAGUGAAAUGCGUAGAGAUAUGGAAGAACAUCGAUGGCGAAGGCAACCUCCUGGGCUAGCACUGACGCUCAUGCACGAAAGCGUGGGGAGCAAACAGGAUUAGAUAACCUGGUAGUCCACGACCUAAACUAUGUCAACUAGUUGUCGGAUCUUAUUGGAUUUGGUAACGUAGCUAACGCGUGAAGUUGAACGCCUGGGGAGUACGGUCGCAAGAUUAAAACUUAAAUGAAUUGACGG
rnacentral:rRNA from 1 species